CAGGGAAUAGUUUAAUUAAAAUAUAAGUUUUGGAGGCUUUUGAUGUAAGUAACUUACUUCUCUGA
rnacentral:tRNA from 1 species